UAACGCGUGAGGAACCUGCCUCAAAGAGGGGGACAACAGUUGGAAACGACUGCUAAUACCGCAUAAGCCCACGGGUCGGCAUCGACCAGAGGGAAAAGGAGCAGUCCGCUUUGAGAUGGCCUCGCGUCCGAUUAGCUAGUUGGUGAGGUAACGGCCCACCAAGGCAACGAUCGGUAGCCGGACUGAGAGGUUGAACGGCCACAUUGGGACUGAGACACGGCCCAGACUCCUACGGGAGGCAGCAGUGGGGAAUAUUGCACAAUGGGGGAAACCCUGAUGCAGCGACGCCGCGUGGAGGAAGAAGGUCUUCGGAUUGUAAACUCCUGUUGUUGAGGAAGAUAAUGACGGUACUCAACAAGGAAGUGACGGCUAACUACGUGCCAGCAGCCGCGGUAAAACGUAGGUCACAAGCGUUGUCCGGAAUUACUGGGUGUAAAGGGAGCGCAGGCGGGAAGACAAGUUGGAAGUGAAAUCUAUGGGCUCAACCCAUAAACUGCUUUCAAAACUGUUUUUCUUGAGUAGUGCAGAGGUAGGCGGAAUUCCCGGUGUAGCGGUGGAAUGCGUAGAUAUCGGGAGGAACACCAGUGGCGAAGGCGGCCUACUGGGCACCAACUGACGCUGAGGCUCGAAAGUGUGGGUAGCAAACAGGAUUAGAUACCCUGGUAGUCCACACCGUAAACGAUGAUUACUAGGUGU
rnacentral:rRNA from 1 species